UUGGCAAACGCUAUAUUUUAGAAUAUAGAGGAAAGUCCAUGCUCACACAAACUGCGAUGUUUGUAGUGUUCGUGCUAGAGAAAAAAAUAACUCUAGGUAGCAUUUUGCUAACGGCGAUGAAAUAGCCUAAGUCUUAAGAUAUGGCUAAAGUAAUUAUAAAGUGUCAUAGUGACGAGGAAAUUGGAAACAAUGGAAGUGGAACGUGAUAAACCCCACGAGUGAGAAACUCAAAUUUUGGUAGAGGAGCUUUAACGAAGGAAUAAAACAGAGUUAAGGACUAAUGAAAAUUAGUAGAUAAAUGUUUGCCACCUAGAAAUAGGUACAGAACAUGGCUUAUAA
rnacentral:RNase_P_RNA from 1 species